AGCGAACGCUGGCGGCAGGCCUAACACAUGCAAGUCGAACGAACCUUUCGGGGUUAGUGGCGGACGGGUGAGUAACACGUGGGAACGUGCCUUUAGGUUCGGAAUAACUCAGGGAAACUUGUGCUAAUACCGAAUGUGCCCUUCGGGGGAAAGAUUUAUCGCCUUUAGAGCGGCCCGCGUCUGAUUAGCUAGUUGGUUGAGGUAAUGGCUCACCAAGGCGACGAUCAGUAGCUGGUCUGAGAGGAUGAUCAGCCACAUUGGGACUGAGACACGGCCCAAACUCCUACGGGAGGAAGCAGUGGGGAAUCUUGCGCAAUGGGCGAAAGCCUGAAGCAGCCAUGCCGCGUGAAUGAUGAAGGUCUUAGGAUUGUAAAAUUCUUUCACCGGGGACGAUAAUGACGGUACCCGGAGAAGAAGCCCCGGCUAACUUCGUG
rnacentral:rRNA from 1 species